CCCUUUUCUCUCUCUUCUUCUUUCAUCUCUUUUGCUCUCCUUUUCUCUCUCUAGGCUAGGGAAAGCUUGAGGAAAUUGGGGUAGCAGCCUUGAGGCUUGCGGGUUCAAGUGGAGAAGUUGAUCCGAGCUAGGGAAGGUUGAUGAAAUUGAUGCGUUAAGGGAUCUCCUUGCUGGUCCGAACUGAAAAGGAUUUCCUAGCAAGGAAUUCCUGCUAUUGGAGUUGCUGAACAACUUGGCUAGAGCAUCUAAAUUAAGAUUUGGAGCUGAAAUGAUUAGAGCUAUUGAGUAGUAAGUGCAGCUAAGAAAGAAACCUUGAAGAAGUUCGAAUUUUGCAGAGGAACCAAGUGGAAGCUUCAGCUGAGACUACUUAGAAAUUGAAGAUUGAAAACUUAGUGAAGCGGUAGUGACUUCAGGAAUUCCAGGCAGCCAGAUUAAAGGAGUUAAGUAAAGCUUUAAUUGAGUCGGCGACACACUAAUUACGGUAGAAGCCAAUUCGGCUUCAUUUGCACCGAGUCGCGUGAGAUUGUUCUUGACAUCGUACAAGACGUGAUACUAGCUGUUAGCAUCCCUACAGGUUCCAGUGCGAGCGGUGUGGCUGAGGAUCGCGGCAAAAGCCCAGCAGCUUAGUUAACAGACACCAGUGUUUUGUGGCAUAUACCUAUUUUGGUUUCAUAUUGUACAUAAUGAUGAACAGAGACCUAUAAAUGGAUGUACUAAAGAGCAUGUAAAUAACUAAAUAUUUCAGUUAUACAGUUUCAUACUGUUUGGUUUAAAAGUUUUAAA